UAUGUUGAGAUAUAGCAUGAGUUUAGGGGGAAUCCGAUAUGCAUAUCUCCUAUUGUUUUUCAUUAUCAAAAAGGGGGAAAUUGUAGGAAAUCAUUCUAUCCAUGAUAUGUGUGCUUUGGUUGUAUUAGCAUGAUUUCCAGGUAUAUGUUUUGAUGAAAUGACAAACAAUGAAGUCAAGUGUCAAACAACGUUAUUAUAUGACAAACAAUCAAGAUUGAAUGCCGAGAAGCAUAUUGAUGAAGGAAUUGCAUGGAAAAGCCAAGACGAGCUCAAAAGUUCA
rnacentral:lncRNA from 1 species